rnacentral:rRNA from 1 species
GACGGAGGAUGCAAGUGUUAUCCGGAAUCACUGGGCGUAAAGCGUCUGUAGGUGGUCAAAUAAGUCAACUGUUAAAUCUUGAGGCUCAACCUCAAAACCGCAGACGAAACUAUUAGACUAGAGUAUAGUAGGGGUAAAGGGAAUUUCCAGUGGAGCGGUGAAAUGCGUAGAGAUUGGAAAGAACACCGAUGGCGAAGGCACUUUACUGGGCUAUGACUAACACUCAGAGACGAAAGCUAGGGUAGCAAAUGGG